rnacentral:rRNA from 1 species
UCCUACGGGAGGCAGCAGUGGGGAAUAUUGGACAAUGGGGGCAAGCCUGAUCCAGCAAUGCCGCGUGUGUGAAGAAGGCCUUCGGGUUGUAAAGCACUUUUAUCAGGAGGGAAAUCUGCAUGCUUAAAACGUGGCAGUCUGACGUACCGA